UAGGACUUAGCAUUACGUGAACAUGUGCAGUACACACGGUGACAGAACAAAAAAAAGCCGAGCAGUUGCUGCAACUGGAGUUGAACUGAAGACCUUUCUUUAAAGUUGAACCCGCUAAGCCAUCUUUCCUAUGCUUCAUCUCGGUUCAAGUGGAUUCAAAGUAUACAUCUAUGAACAUUCAUCAGAAUUUUCAAUUAAGUGGGUUCAUUUGAAUCCUCUUGACACUCCGCCCCUAAGCCUAAGCGUUUAUCAUUCUAAUUCAAUUCAAUGAAAUGAGAUUGAACAUUUCUCUCUCUAUUUUUCUGCCUUCUUCUUCUUCUCCUCGACCUAUGCUUCUUCUUCUUUCUAUCAAUACUAGUUUAGGGUUCAUAUGAUUGUUGAAUCCUCAGAUUAUUUUAUGGUAUCAUAGCUUACAAGUUAGCAAAGCUGACUUAUAUUGCAAUUCCGCAAAUUUCUCAAAUUCAAUCAAAGUGUGCUUGACAGUUCUUGAGGAUCUGUAAAAAUGGUUGUUAAUGACGAAAAUACAACUCGGAAUGGAACUCAGAUUCCGAUUCCAAUCAAUGCAACAGGUUUGAGUACAUGACAAUCGAGCACCAUUCAUCCCCUGUUCUUGAGUCCUGGUGAUGAUCUCUUCAGUGGUAAGGUGAAAGCGAUUGGUAAAGAGAAUUGAGGAUUGUAUAUCUUGAUGGAUUCUAAUGCCAGGAAGGAUGGAAGUGUCAUACUAGCUACUCAAGAAGUUGAAGAAAACAACAUCUCAAUGUCAAAGACUGAAGAUAUUGAGUUGUGGCAUAUAAGGUUUGGGCAUGUUUCCACUACCAUUCUUAGGAAGAGUCAUGAUAUAGUUGAUUAGUUGAAUAAUGCAAUGUAUGUCCUUGUGCUAAACAAACAAGGUUGUCAUUUCUUACAAGUACAAUUUCUUCUAUAUAUUGUUUUGAUCAGUUGCAUAUGGAUUUGUGGUGUCCUUACAAAGUACCAACUGUUGAUGGCAAUAUAUUCUUUUUUUACAAUUUUUAAUGACUAGUCUAGAAUGACAUGGGUGUUCUUGUUGAAAUUAAAGUCUGAUGUAUGUGUUAUUAUUCAGCAAUUUCUCAAGUUUGUUAAAA